GAUGACUGCCUACUGCCAACACGGAGGAUCUCAGAGAACAGAAAGAGGGAGCCAGGAAGAAAGACAGUCGUGAUCAUGAUGAAGUCAAGCCUGGGAAGGCAGGGGCAGGAGGAGCGGCGGGUCCCGGGAACCCCCGAGGGGGCGUGGCCACCCACUCUACGGCUUGCUCUGUUCCUAGAAAAGGAGCGAGGUCCUGCUCAGCUAUCUCCAGAGCCGCGCCCGGAACAGAAUCACCAGCGUAGCACAAAGGGUCCCUGCUUCCAACUCCUUCAUCCCGGGUCUUCUUCUUCACUUUCCUUCUGCUUCCCGAAGUGGGACACCACGAACCUGCACGGACACCUCCUGUCUUCCAGCCAGAGGCGCAUUUGGGAUGGGCUCUGCUGUAAGGAGGUGGUUCUACCUUCCCCUGGGCUGCGUUCUGCUGUUCAGUCUCACUGAUGCUGACUUGGAAUUUCAAAAGGGAGUGCUUGCCAGCAUCAGCCCUGGCAUCACAGAGGGCAUAGAUCCCCAGUGUUGGAACACUUGCUCUCUGACGCUGAUAGACCUCAAGGAAAUCAAGAUAGAGCACAAUGUGGAUGCGUUCUGGAAUUUCAUGUUAUUUUUGCAAAAAUCUCAGCGUCCUGGGCAUUACAGUAUCUUCUUAAACAUAGCCCAGGACUUCUGGGACAUGUAUAUAGACUGCUUGCUUUCAAGGUCUCAUGGGAUGGGCAGAAGACAGGUGCUAUCUUCCAAGUAUAAUUCCCACAGAAAAUGGCAGGACGUGAUCUGAAGGUGUACCUACGCAAGUAGUGAUGUUGCUUUAUUAAAAAUUCUCCACUUAGUUCGAUUAUUUCAGGUUUGUCAAAUAAGCUAGCAAAUUAUCAUAUUUAGUUUUUUAAAAUGUACUUUUUUAUUUUUACAUCAUGUAGAAAUCAUGAGUGCUUCAUUAUCGGUAACCUUAGAAUAUACAUUGUUAGAUCAUUAAAAUCAUCUUACUGUUACCGCAUGUGUAGUUCAUAGGAAAGCCAUACACCUUUGUAUCUAUUAAUAUUGUAAGACUUAAAUAUCAAGCUUGUGGUAGCUUUUUAAACAAAGCAUUUUCAAUGGGUUGCAUAGAAGAAUGGAAUCUUAUACUGAUUUUUCCCGAUACUAUAGAAAUUGAUUAUAAAACAUUUAAGAAGAAAAACACAAAUACCUCAAGCAAGAUGGCAACUGUGAGCAGAAUCCUGUUAGUAUUUGCCAAGUCAAAUAUUUCCUGCUAUAAAUAAAAUGAUGAUUUCCAGUUUCUU
rnacentral:lncRNA from 1 species